AAAAUCGUUGAAGGAAUGAGUCGACAGUUUAGGGGACGCACAGCCUCCAUGGCAGGAAGAGCCAGGCAGGGCGGCGGGGUGAUCUGUGUAUUACCUGAGAGUUCAGGAGGAUUCCCAGAAUUCAGAGGGGCCUGCAAAGGCCCAUGGAACCUCAAGGUACCCUUGACUGUGACACCGAGUGUAGUGGUUGGGUUGUCACACCGACCUGCUGCUUCUCUCGGGCCCUCUUAUUCGGCUCUUGUGUUGCUGUCUGUGUUUGCCGUCUCCACGAGUGCAGAAAGACUGCCUGAUGUGGAAGAGACUGGCUGUGCUGUGGAAACUGUCUCACGUGCUUCUGGGCCUGACAUCUGGAGGAAGAUGUCUAGCUGUGACUUCUCACCUGUGCGCGAAGAACAGAUAUACUCACGAGGACUCUUGUGAAACAAGAUCUUGUGAAACAAGCCAGUCUGGACCUUAGCGAUCCUGCUCUGUGCCUAGGGACUGGAGCUGUGUCCCUGAGAGGAGAGAAGAGCGCUGACGUGUUGAUCGUGACGCUUGACUGUCAGCAAGUACCAAUCACUCUUGAAAGAGCCAUCUGCCGAUGGGGAAGAGCCAGACGUGGCCUGGGAAGAGCUGAAUGUGUGGGGGAAGCCGUUCGGGCUUGGUAAGUGAAACUUAGGGUAGUCGGACCCCAGAAACCCGAGGAAAGGAGAUCGGUAGGUCAGUAAGACAGCCUAGGGCAGCCCUGGCGGUUACGGUUAUUUCCCACGACUGUGGCUGCAACCUGGAGUGAUAUGAUCAAAAGUACACAGCAGCCCAGACAUCCUCACUAGAGCUCCAGGAAGACCACGGGGAUGGGUGGUCACAUUUCAGGAGGCACUGUGUAGUCUGUCUGCCCUCUUUAGGGCAACCAGUGUCUUCAGAUGGCGACAGACAAGCCGGCCUUGGUAGGCUGUUCAUUGCUAGGGUGAUAGAGUUCCCUGGGCUCAGUCUUACUUCAGAUGGUUGUGUGGAUAGCUGGGCCGGUUUGCCCUCUGUUUUUGAUUUUUCAUUUAAAAUGCUAUUAGUAAUUAGCGUAGGCAUAGAAGGAUUCUGUGCUGUUUCCAGCUUCCAUCAUUCUCCGGCCUCAGUGUGUGCCGUUCGAUGCAUGGCAGAGUCCUUUAACCGGGAAGCAACCAGACAGAACCCACCUACAGAUGCAAUCAUGUUGGAAGUAAAUGAGAGGUUUUCUUUCAGGGGCCGCAUGCCGGGGUCUGGGGCACGGCUCAGUUGGUAAAAUGCUUUCUCUCCAGGCAUGGAGACCUGACUUAGGAGCCCCAGCCCUCCUUUAUGAAGCAGAGCACGGUGGCACACACCUGUCUGUAAUCCCAGUGCUAGGGAGGCGGGAGAGGAACAUGCCCGGGGUUGCCGGCCAGGCAGCACAGCUGAAUCAGUGAGAGCUCUAGGUUUGCUGGAGGGUCUGUCUUCACAAUAAAGAUAGACCGUGAUUGAUGAAGACAUCUGACAGUGGGAUCUAGCCUCCACAUAGACAUGCACACACACACACACACACACACACACACACACACACACACACACACACACACUUGCAUACCCACACACCACACAUACACACACCACACACACACACACACACACCACACACACACACACACACCACACACACCCCCCACACCACACCACACACACACCUACACACACACACACACACCACACCACACACACACCACACACACCCACACACCACACCACACACACACACCACACACACACACACACACACACACACACACACACACACACACACACACACACCACACACACACACACACACACAAACAAAACAAAAACCUUGUCCCUAAGUGUUUGUCAAUAUUUAUUGCCCAUCAUGGGACCCAUCGUGCUAAUAGGAAUCAAUAAAGACAAGAGACAGGGAAUUCAUGAAGAAGCAUCAGUAUUGGCUUCAGAAAUGAGCAUUUUGAGAAGAUCCUGUCUGAAGAUGACGUUUUUACCUCUAGUCACAAGACGAGCCUCCACUCCAUCACUUGACUGGUAACAACUUUUCAUCAGAUCAAAUUUCCUCCAGAUUCAACUUUUCUCCUUGUCGAUCCCAAAUGUCUUGGUCAUUUGUAGAGUGGAGCGAUGGGUACACUUCUGCCUCAUUCCCAGGGUGGUCUGGGCUGAUAAUGUUCAUGCCAUUAGUAAAAGACUCUAACAAAGAGAAAAACAAAGACGUUUUCAUGUCACCGUCAUCAGAGCUUCAAGAAGUUGGCUCAUUCCAAAACAUCAGACUCACCAUCCAUUCCAUGACACCAAAGGAAAGCUUCCUGAAGUUCCCUGUCGUGAAGGGACCAUUAUUUAACAUCAGAGGUGAAAUCAUUUAUUUUUACUGUGAUAAUGACGAUAGCAAUUUUAGUGGGUCUAAGUAUUGUGGCAAGAGAAAUGUUUGUUAUUUUACUUUAUUUCUUUACGAUUUUAUUUUUAAUUUACAUGUGUGGUGCUUUGCCUGCCUGUGUGUAAGUGCACCAUGUGUGUGCAUUGCUGGCAGAGACCAGACGAGGUCGUCAGAUCCCCUGGAACUGGCGUUACAGGUGGUUGUGAGCCACCAUGUGGGUGCUGGGAACUGAACCCCGGUCCUCUGGAAGAGCAGCCAGUGCUCCUAACUGCUGAGCCAUCUCUCCAGCCCUACAAUGACUCUUACUAAUGGAAAACAUACGGAGCAUGAACAGAAUGGGUUGUCAGACACACAUACUAUAUUGCUUCAUCCAAUUAAGUUGUAAUGCUUUGCUAAUUGAAAUAGAAGCUGUGGAUGUUACAAUGUUAAUGCUUAUACAUGAUCACAAUUAUAGUAAUUGAGCUAUAAAACUUUUGUGACUAUUACAUUUUUUUUUCCGCAUUAAUCAAAAAUGGAUGCACUGCAUCUCUGCUUCGAACUAUGAGCUAGUGUUUGGUUACAUCUGUGCCUUUGAGGGAUGGCUUUGUGUUACAGUGACAUUGAACUUUCUGGAUUUUGUUCACAAUUACUUGGCAUUUUUGAUUCCUUUAUUUGAAGGAUGACACAUGAAAAACUUUAUUCUCAUGAAACUUUUGGUGAAUUGUAAUUACUGAGAAAACAGUUUACAAAUAGAUCUUAAAUGCCCCUUUAAAGAAAACACAGAACAAACUAGACAAUGAUAUCUCAAACUGUUUUUAUAAUUUAAUUUUGGAUUACUCUGUUUUCACCUUGGAAUGUAUUGAAUUGCACAGAAAUUUUUGAUGGUACUCUCACUUUAAUUAAAAAUUUAUGUUCUGUAUCAAAAGACA